AGAGUUUGAUCCUGGCUCAGGACGAACGCUGGCGGCGUGCUUAACACAUGCAAGUCUACGAGAAGAGAGGUAGCAAUAUCUCUCGGACAGUGGCGCACGGGUGAGUAAUAUGUAAGUAAUCUACCUAUGGAUUUGGAAUAACGUCGAGAAAUCGGCGCUAAUACCGAAUGAUGCAGCGGCACCGCAUGGUGAUGUUGUUAAAGUUGCAGCAAUGUAACGUCUAUAGAUGAGCUUGCAUCUGAUUAGCUAGUUGGUAGGGUAACGGCCUACCAAGGCAACGAUCAGUAGCUGGUCUGAGAGGAUGAUCAGCCACACUGGAACUGAGACACGGUCCAGACUCCUACGGGAGGCAGCAGUGAGGAAUAUUGGGCAAUGCCCGCAAGGGUGACCCAGCAACGCCGCGUGAAGGAUGAAUGCCGUAAGGUUGUAAACUUCUGUGAGAAGGGACGAAAACUUAUGCUUCGUAAGGGGCAUAAAUUGACUGUACCUUCAGAGGAAACCCCGGCUAACUACGUGCCAGCAGCCGCGGUAAUACGUAGGGGGUUAGCGUUGUCCGGAUUUACUGGGUGUAAAGGGCGCGUAGGCGGGUUUGUAAGUCAGUGGUGAAAUCCUGCAGCUUAACUGCAGAACUGCCUUUGAUACUGCAAAUCUUGAGUUCAGAAGAGAGAGAUGGAAUUCCAGGUGUAGUGGUGAAAUACGUAGAUAUCUGGAAGAACACCAGUGGCGAAGGCGAUCUCUUGGUCUGACACUGACGCUGAGGCGCGAAAGCGUGGGUAGCAAACAGGAUUAGAUACCCUGGUAGUCCACGCUGUAAACGAUGAAUACUAGAUGUUGGGCAGCAAUGCUCAGUGUCGCAGCUAACGCAUUAAGUAUUCCACCCGGGGAGUACGAUCGCAAGGUUGAAACUCAAAUGAAUUGACGG
rnacentral:rRNA from 1 species